rnacentral:rRNA from 1 species
UGGGGAAUAUUGCACAAUGGGCGCAAGCCUGAUGCAGCCAUGCCGCGUGUAUGAAGAAGGCCUUCGGGUUGUAAAGUACUUUCAGCGAGGAGGAAGGCAUUAAGGUUAAUAACCUUGGGUGAUUGACGUUACUCGCAGAAGAAGCACCGGCUAACUCCGUGCCAGCAGCCGCGGUAAUACGGAGGGUGCAAGCGUUAAUCGGAAUUACUGGGCGUAAAGCGCACGCAGGCGGUCUGUCAAGUCGGAUGUGAAAUCCCCGGGCUCAACCUGGGAACUGCAUCCGAAACUGGCAGGCUAGAGUCUUGUAGAGGGGGUAGAAUUUCAGGUGUAGCGGUGAAAUUGCGUAGAGAUCUGGAGGAAUACCGGUGGCGAAGGCGGCCCCCUGGACAAAGACUGACGCUCAGGUGCGAAAGCGUGGGAGCAAACA